GUUAUAUGAUCAAGUGAAUAAGCGUAUACGGUGGAUGCCUUGGCAGUAAGAGGCGAUGAAGGACGUAGUAAUCUGCGAUAAGCCCCGGCGAGCUGAUAAACAAGCUUUGACCCGAGGAUUUCCGAAUGGGGAAACCCGGCUAUCUUUGAUAGUCACUCCUAUCUGAAUAUAUAGGAUAGGUAGAGCAAACCCGGAGAACUGAAACAUCUAAGUACCCGGAGGAAUAGAAAUCAACCGAGAUUCCCUUAGUAGCGGCGAGCGAACGGGGAUUAGCCCAUAAGCUAUUUAAGUUUUAACAGAACAGUCUGGAAAGUCUGGCCAUAGAGGGUGAUAGCCCCUUAUGUGAAAAAGCUUUUAUAGUGAUAUCGAGUAGGGCGGGACACGUGAAAUCCUGUCUGAAUAUGGGGGGACCAUCCUCCAAGGCUAAAUACUCCUUACUGACCGAUAGUGAACUAGUACCGUGAGGGAAAGGCGAAAAGAACCCCGGAGAGGGGAGUGAAAUAGAUCCUGAAACCGUAUACGUACAAGCAGUGGGAGCAGACUUGUUCUGUGACUGCGUACCUUUUGUAUAAUGGGUCAGCGACUUACUUCUCAGUUGCAAGGUUAACCAUUUAGGGGAGCCGUAGGGAAACCGAGUCUUAAUAGGGCGAAUAGUAGCUGGGAGUAGACCCGAAACCGAGCGAUCUAUCCAUGGUCAGGGUGAAGGUGGGGUAAAACCUACUGGAGGCCCGAACCCACUUAUGUUGAAAAAUGAGGGGAUGAGCUGUGGAUCGGAGUGAAAGGCUAAUCAAGCCCGGAGAUAGCUGGUUCUCCUCGAAAGCUAUUUAGGUAGCGCCUCGUGUAUCACUCUAGGGGGUAGAGCACUGUUACGGCUAGGGGGCCAUCCCGGCUUACCAACCCGUUGCAAACUCCGAAUACCUAGAAGUGCAAUCACGGGAGACACACGGCGGGUGCUAACGUCCGUCGUGGAGAGGGAAACAACCCAGACCGCCAAUUAAGGUCCCAAAGUUAUAGUUAAGUGGGAAACGAUGUGGAAAGGCAUAGACAGCCAGGAGGUUGGCUUAGAAGCAGCCACCCUUUAAAGAAAGCGUAAUAGCUCACUGGUCGAGUCGGUCUGCGCGGAAGAUUUAACGGGGCUAAACUAUACACCGAAAUUGCGGAUGCAUACUUGUAUGCAUGGUAGAAGAGCGUUCUGUACGCCGUUGAAGGUGAACUGUAAGGUUUGCUGGAGGUAUCAGAAGUGCGAAUGCUGACAUGAGUAACGAUAAUGGGGGUGAAAAACCCCCACGCCGAAAGACCAAGGUUUCCUGCUCAACGCUAAUCGGAGCAGGGUGAGUCGGCCCCUAAGGCGAGGCAGAAAUGCGUAGUCGAUGGGAAGCAGGUUAAUAUUCCUGCACCACGCAAUAUUGCGAUGGGAUGACGGAGAAAGCUAAAUCAGCCAACUGUUGGAUAUGUUGGUUCAAGCAUGUAGGGAGAGAACUUAGGCAAAUCCGGGUUCUCAAUCCUGAGGUGUGAUAACGAGCCCUCUUUUGGGCGAAGUGAUUGAUGCUAUGCUUCCAAGAAAAUUCUCUAAGCUUCAGAUAUUGUUGUGACCGUACCCCAAACCAACACAGGUGGUCAGGGUGAGAAUCCUAAGGCGCUUGAGAGAACUCGGGUGAAGGAACUAGGCAAAAUGGCACCGUAACUUCGGGAGAAGGUGCGCCCCUUGUAUGUGAUCGGACUUGCUCCGUGAGCUGAAGGGGGCCGCAGUGAAAUGGUGGCUGCAACUGUUUACUAAAAACAUAGCACUCUGCAAACUCGUAAGAGGAAGUAUAGGGUGUGACGCCUGCCCGGUGCCGGAAGGUUAAUUGAUGGGGUUAGCUUCGGCGAAGCUCUUGAUCGAAGCCCCGGUAAACGGCGGCCGUAACUAUAACGGUCCUAAGGUAGCGAAAUUCCUUGUCGGGUAAGUUCCGACCUGCACGAAUGGCGUAAUGACGGCCACACUGUCUCCACCCGAGACUCAGUGAAAUUGAAAUCGCUGUUAAGAUGCAGUGUACCCGCGGCUAGACGGAAAGACCCCGUGCACCUUUACUACAGCUUUGCAUUGAACUCUGAACCUAUCUGUGUAGGAUAGGUGGGAGGCUUUGAAACCUGGACGCUAGUUCAGGUGGAGCCAAUCUUGAAAUACCACCCUGGUAUGUUUGGGGUUCUAACCUAGGUCCGUUAUCCGGAUUGGGGACAAUGCAUGGUGGGUAGUUUGACUGGGGCGGUCUCCUCCCAAAGAGUAACGGAGGAGCGCGACGGUACCCUCAGCAUGGUCGGAAAUCAUGCUCUUGAGUGCAAAGGCAUAAGGGUGCUUGACUGCGAGACAGACACGUCGAGCAGGAGCGAAAGCUGGUCUUAGUGAUCCGGUGGUUCUGAAUGGAAGGGCCAUCGCUCAACGGAUAAAAGGUACGCCGGGGAUAACAGGCUGAUUCCUCCCAAGAGUUCAUAUCGACGGGGGAGUUUGGCACCUCGAUGUCGGCUCAUCACAUCCUGGGGCUGUAGCCGGUCCCAAGGGUAUGGCUGUUCGCCAUUUAAAGUGGUACGCGAGCUGGGUUUAGAACGUCGUGAGACAGUUCGGUCCCUAUCUGCCGUGGGCGUUGGAGAUUUGAGGGGAGCUGCUUCUAGUACGAGAGGACCGAAGUGGACAUUCCUCUGGUGUUCCGGUUAUCACGCCAGUGGUAUUGCCGGGUAGCUAUGAAUGGAAGGGAUAACCGCUGAAAGCAUCUAAGCGGGAAGCCUCACCCAAGAUAAGAUCUCCCUAGACUUUUAAAGUCUCUAAAGGUCCGUCGAAGACUACGACGUUGAUAGGCUCGGUGUGGAAGUGCAGCAAUGCAUGAAGCUAACGAGUACUAAUUAACCGUGAGACUUGAUCAUAUAACACCCAA
rnacentral:rRNA from 1 species